rnacentral:lncRNA from 1 species
AUAGUGAGGCUACUGAGUUUGACCACAUAUUUUCUUAGUUCCUAGCCAUUCAGAUCCUUGCUAUGUAUGUUGGUUACAAUAGAUUUAGGUUCACUGUUAGAGUAGGAUGCACCUAGAUAAAAUUUAUCGACCUCGAUAGAAAAGAAGAAGUCCUAUGCGGUUAGUAAGACUGAGUUCAGGAAGUCUUCGAUCGAAGCAAAUGUGAAUACUGAAAAAAUUUUUCAUGAAAUUCACAGAUGAACUCGAGUUGAGCC